rnacentral:rRNA from 1 species
UACGUAGGGCGCAAGCGUUGUCCGGAAUUAUUGGGCGUAAAGAGCUCGUAGGCGGCCAGUUGCGUCCGCUGUGAAAUCCCGGGGCUUAACCCCGGGCGUGCAGUGGAUACGGGCUGGCUAGAGGCAGGCAGGGGAGAACGGAAUUCCCGGUGUAGCGGUGAAAUGCGCAGAUAUCGGGAGGAACACCGGUGGCGAAGGCGGUUCUCUGGGACGGUACUGACGCUGAGACGCGAAAGCGUGGGGAGCGAACAGG